ACCAACCUUUGGUAACUGCUGCAUUACCGGGGUAACUUAAUUCAACAUCGAGGUGUCAAACUUUAUCUUCGAUACCUUCUCUAAAAUAAAAUUAACCUGUUAUCCCUAAAGUAGCUUUUAUUUAUUUGUUGUCAUCGAUUUUUUAAACUUAAGACAGGUCACUAACCCCACUUUGUGAUUGUUAAAUUUAUAAAUUAAACAAUAAAUAACUAUUUUAAAAAAAACAGUUUAUGUUCUGGUUGCUAUUCUUUUUUUUUAAAAUGCCGUUGCCCCAACGAAACUAACCCCCUUAUUAAUGAUUCAAUUAAAAAUUAAAUUUUUAAUUCUUACUGAUUUAAUAAAGUUAUAGUUAAGCUUUAUAGGGUCUUCUCGUCUUACAGUUUCAAACAGCAUCUUCACUGUUAUUUAAAUUUUAACUGGUUUAUAUUCAAGACAGUGGAAACCUCGUAAAACCAUUCACCUACGUUCGUCAAUUAAACAACUAUUUAUUUUCCUACAUUAUCACCGUCAAGAUACAGCGGCCGUUGAACUCAAUUUAAAAUUUAUUAAUUUUUAAUAUAUAAGUCACUGGGCAGGUAUCGCCCUGAAUAAGGUGUCAGGGUUAUGUUUUUGGUAAACAGUCGA
rnacentral:rRNA from 1 species